rnacentral:misc_RNA from 1 species
GUUGUUGCUUACGAGAAUGACUACGAUGGUUAUGAUUAUGACGGUGAUGAAGGUGCUCUUGGAGUAGUUGCUGCAUUGCAGUGCGAGCACGCGCUCGUGCAAGUUGCCGCGCACUUGCCGGUGUUCGCCAGCCGCUGCCUGGUGUGCACAGUGCAGCGCUCCCAGGCACACCAGCCGCGUUUUUCGGAGUCGAUGUAGACGCUGAUAUUGCCCUUGUCGUUGCUGUAGGUGCUCCUGGUGUCCAGAGUACGGGCGAGUCCGCGUCUGGAGACCUGAGCAUCGACAACCUACUGCUGUUGCUGUUGCUGAGGUGCUGGGGCACGCGUGCGGGUGUCGUCAUCGUCGCUGCUGCUGCUGCUGCUGCUGCUGCUGCUGCUGUGCCACCCUUGUCAUCAUCGUCGUCAUUGUCGCCAGUGCUGAUCCCGUGACAACCAACGCCCUGAUCAACAUGUGCGCCGCGUGCGAGGCACUGUGCGAACGCUUGGACGAGUUCGCGUUGCUCUGGGCGCUUGGCGGCUCGUUGCACCCGAGCCAGCACAUGGGACAGAGCCUCCGCUACGACACCGUCUGCUAGCCAGUGCGUGUAGCACUUGCUGAGCUCCACGAGACGGCGGAGACAACGCUCGCUGGUGCAGUGCAACAGCGGCAGGCACAGCGCCAAACGUUGUGCAGUAUGCACAUCGGCGGCACCCCGCAGACGGUAACAGAAACGUUCCAGCAGGUGCUCUGUCAGACGCUCCUGGCGCACAAACGAUAAGAGGAAUUGCAUCAUAUCCAGGAAUGCUUCCGUGGAUAUGGACGGUUGCAGAGCUUUCGGUUUUGUGAGCCGGCUCGGUGCGUGCCCGCUAACCAGCGUUGCCGCCUCCUCCUCCGCCUCCUCCUCCUGGGACAGACUGCAAACCAGGUCCGGAAGCAGCAGCAUGAACGUUUGUGCUGCACUGACGCGCUUACGCUGCAUUUCAGUGAAAAGUGUUCGAGCGAGUCGCGCGACGCUAGCGUCAGAAUCCUGCAGACAGCGCACCAGGUCGACCCAGUGUCCCUUAAUUUUGAUCAUUUCGUUAAGAAUGAGGUGCGUCAGCACCAUGAGCAUAUAGCGACGCACCCGAGCGUCUUGAUCCUGGCGCAGUACCGUAUACAGUUGAUCUGUCCACGGCUCGAGCCGGUUGGGAAAGCGGGCAACCAGGUCACCCAGUGCGACCACAAUGUUGAUGCGCACUACAGCGCUGGAUGCUUGUUGCAGGGCGGUGAAGAGCACACGCAGGAAGCGCUCGGCAACGGACUCGUGGAGACAGGCGAGUCGUCCCAGGCACAGGGCGGCAGCAGCCCCGAGUGUAUUGUCCGCGCUAGACCGAGGCUGGACUCGGGCGCCAUGCACAGGCGUCUGCGCUGCGGUAACGCUGGAGUCGUCCUCGAGAGAUGCAGCAGGCUGCGACUGCGACUGCGACUGCGACUGCGACUGCGGUGUCCAAGCACAAGCGCGUAACAGCACAUGGGCAGCGAGUGGUGCCAGCGCCGCCAGAGGUGCCUCCGGUGCCGUCAGCUCCGUCUCCAGCACGCUGCACAGCUGAUCCAGACGACUUUCCAGGUACUGGAGGCGCUCGGGAUCGAUACCAACGUGCGCGACGCUAGCUUCCGUAACGGACGCGGCCGCUUUCGAGUGCGACUGACGAGCACGUCGCGCUUGGCCCGUUGCCGGUGUCGUCAAAGUUGCCUCCACCUGCUUUGACGCAUCGUCGAGUUGCAGCUGCGCAACUGCCUCGGCGAGACAGGUCUCGACCGGGUUCGUCGACGACUCGGAGCGCAGACAAGCGCGUACACUCUUCACGGCAAAGUGCAGUUGGUGCACAGCAAAAGCGCUGCCCACGGUGAAGAGGCGGCUUAGCCAAGAGCUGGCGCAACGAACCUGCGGUUUGUCUUGGUGCACGUCGCCAUGAGCCGUGCUGCCUUGCGAGCCUCUCGCCUGUUGCUGUGCAACCUGGUGCCGCUCCACAAGGCGCUGCAGAACCCGAUGAACGCUCUGCGAAGGAUCCCGGCUGCAAUGGAAGAGGCAUGUGACAGCGGCCUGAGCGGCUGCUGGCCAGUACACACUCCUGGUGUCGUCGACGAGCAGCGCCUCGACCUUGCCGACAAGCAGUCCAUCUUCGGAGUCUAACGACUGGGCUGCUAGACCGUGGGUAAGUGCCGCGCAGGCCCAACGGGCAGUCACCAGAUCAGUAAACGCGUGCUCUCGCAGCAGCUCGCAUUGCGACUUGGUGAGUGGCUUUGCGGAUACGACGCACUGAAUGAGGAAGGUGCAUCCACGGAUGAGUUCCAAGUUCGCACCGGGAAUUCGACCGGCGAGCACGUCCCACCAGCACUGCAGGACCGAAGGAGCGAGGCGCUCACUGCGAUACAAUGCUGGCAAGAGUCGCUCGAAGCAGGUCAGUUCGCCAACAGUAGCCCGAGCGACCAGCGACACCAGGGAUCUGGUGAUGGCCAAGACACCCAUGGUCUGCAGCGCUUCUGUCGCGAGUGCCAUAUCUUGUUGCUGCUUUGUCGAGCGCAAGACCUGUUCCAGCGGCAGAACGAAGCACAUGGUGUAAAAGGCAUCGAGCGCUGCUGUCUGAACGCUUUCCUCCCGGGAUAAACCCAGACGUAAAGUCUGCUUGGGUGCCUCAGCCACAGCAGCUGGCACCUCGAACUGGUAAGCUGUGCACAAGACACGAAUGGCAUCGAGCACGUCACCGUUCUGACGGGAACGACACAGCCUGCUGACCAGCGGGAUAGCUUUGUUGAGAAUUUCCGCAAAAGUAGCUGCGCCCGCAUAGAAAGAAGCACCUUCUUGCGCUAACGCGAAGGGCAUCUCGAACGUUGAGGCGGGGUCAUCGGGCGCUAUACGGAGGCACUGAGCUUGGCGCUGUAUAAACAAUGCCGGCUGCAGACGAUCAGCAAACGGGUUCAACCGGAUGGCAACGGCAAUAAGUUGCAGGGCAGCACGGCGUACGUGCAUCGACUUGUCUUGCAGCCGCUGCGCGACCUGAGCAGCCAGGGUAGCAUACAAGCUGACGGGUACACAACGAGCCUCGAUGAGCUGUUGCCAGACCUGGAGCGUCCGCGAGCGCGCCAAAGCAUGCACGUCAUCCAGGCGUCGCAAGAGCAACUGCAGCAGGCGCUCUUGGAGCGUCAUGGACUCGUCGUGUGGCUCCUGGUGAGGCGCCUGUACAGCCUCAGGGCUCCUGUGUUCUGCCAGAUGCUUCAGGACACAUCCAAAGGCUUGCACAAGCGCGUUACGAACGGAGUAUGCCUCACCAUCGAAAUGCGGAAUCCAUGCAGCAAAAUAGGGAACCAGCGUCCCAGGAGAGCGCUCUGCAAGCUCCGUGAGAAACCGUGCAACAUGACGCGCACAGGUAUUGUCACGAGCGAGUUCACUAAUAGGAAUCUGGGUCACUUGCGUCAUCAGGUCUCGAAUGCAGUCAUCGCGUCCGGCUUGGCUGACGGAGAGCGCUGGUACAUCGCCACGAGUCAACGAUUCCUGGAGCGCGUCCCUGGUAUUAGAGCCGCUGCGGCGCUGCGUGUUGCCGCUGUCAGCGUCAUCUUGACACAGCACCACCACGAUAUCGACGAGAACCGGGGCUACAUGCUCAUACCGUUGCAAACUGUGAACGAGAAUGGGACACAAUCGACCAGCUUGUCCGUAGCGCGAGAGGCACUCUACGAUGAGAUCAACGAGCAGCGCUCGUGCUCGCUCCUUGCGACAUACCAGACGCGACUCGAGCAAGGCACAGGACGUGCGCACAAACAGGUAGAGGUAUGCGUCUUCGGGAAUUGCUGAGGGAAAGGCGAGUUUGAUGAUGCCUUCUUGGCGCAGGAGCUCACCGAAUGCCUCUAGGAGACGCUCGCGCUCGCCCUCGUAGAGCUCAGCCCAUGAAUUCUCUGGACCAGCAUGCUCGCGUUCUCCAGGCAAGUCCCCGGUGCAUACCGUUGCCUGGUCUUCUGCGUAUGCUGGCGAUUCCUCAUCGGAAGCAUCCGACUCGACGAUGAAACGAGACGUCUUCUUGCGAAGGUUGGGGCGCUUCGCCCGACAGCGCGCCGGUGUGCCGCCUUGAUUGGUGCCUGUGCGCGCCGAGCUGCUCUCAAGACGAGUUACCCUGCUGCCACCAGAGGUACCGGCAAGCGGCAGACUUAAGGCGACAGCGUCCUCAGCAAGUUCACGCUCCACGGCCUGCAGCCAGUGGGCGCUAACGAACGCCACCAAGCGAAGAAUAGAGCGCCAGGUAUCCGUACCGGUUCGGUUUGCGGGGUCUGCACUGAGCUCAGCGCGGGCUGCGUUCCGCAUGACGUGUAGUGCUUGCUUGAUCCCGUGUUGAACACAAGUAAAAAG